rnacentral:rRNA from 1 species
GAUGAACGCUGGCGGCGUGCCUAAUACAUGCAAGUCGAGCGAACAGACGAGGAGCUUGCUCCUCUGACGUUAGCGGCGGACGGGUGAGUAACACGUGGAUAACCUACCUAUAAGACUGGGAUAACUUCGGGAAACCGGAGCUAAUACCGGAUAAUAUAUUGAACCGCAUGGUUCAAUAGUGAAAGACGGUCUUGCUGUCACUUAUAGAUGGAUCCGCGCCGCAUUAGCUAGUUGGUAAGGUAACGGCUUACCAAGGCAACGAUGCAUAGCCGACCUGAGAGGGUGAUCGGCCACACUGGAACUGAGACGCGGUCCAGACUCCUACGGGAGGCAGCAGUAGGGAAUCUUCCGCAAUGGGCGAAAGCCUGACGGAGCAACGCCGCGUGAGUGAUGAAGGUCUUCGGAUCGUAAAACUCUGUUAUUAGGGAAGAACAAAUGUGUAAGUAACUAUGCACGUCUUGACGGUACCUAAUCAGAAAGCCACGGCUAACUACGUG